GGAGGAUUGGCCGAGUGGUAAGGCACUGGCUUGCGCUGUGUUCAAUUCAAUGCGAGUCAUGGUCGGGGUCACCCCCGCGCACGUUCGAUCCGUGCAUCCUCCG
rnacentral:tRNA from 1 species